rnacentral:rRNA from 1 species
CCCUUAGAUGUCCUGGGCCGCACGCGCGCUACACUGAGUGUCUGAGAUACGAGUCUGCCUGGUCCGGCAAGGUCUAGGUAAUCGCUAAAAGACACAUCAUGCUUGGGAUAGAUUAUUGCAAAUAUUAAUCUUGAACGAGGAAUUCCUAGUAAGCGCAAGUCAACAGCUUGCGUUGAUUACGUCCCUGCCCUUUGUACACACCGCCCGUCGCUACUACUGAUUGGAUGUUUAAGCGAGGUUCUCGAACUGCUAGCGUCUUAGCUUCGGUGAGGUCGCAGUGUGGGAAGUGAACCUAGCUUUGGUGUCUAGAGGAAGUAAAAGUCGUAACA